rnacentral:misc_RNA from 1 species
AGAAGUAAGCUAAUUCUUUCCUGAGCUAGGUCAGCUACGCGGGUUGAAGAGUUACCACUUGAUUGAGUGGGUUGAUUUUGAUAAAGAUUCUCGCCUUGAAACCACUGAUAGAAAUACCUUAGGACGGAACGCGAAAGAGCUACUAUUUAAGAAGUUAAGCCGGAGAGGCCAAUCCGGAACCAUAAUGGUUUUGGGCCAUGAAGAGCUCUAAAACAAGGAAUCAGCGCCUACUAAGAUAAGAGGCAAUGAAGCAGAGCAGCUCAACCAAAG